rnacentral:rRNA from 1 species
AUGAACGCUGACAGAAUGCUUAACACAUGCAAGUCAACUUGAACUUCGGUUUGGGUGGCGGACGGGUGAGUAACGCGUAAAGAACUUGCCUCACAGCUAGGGACAACAUUUGGAAACGAAUGCUAAUACCUGAUAUUAUGAUUUUAGGGCAUCCUAGAAUUAUGAAAGCUAUAUGCACUGUGAGAGAGCUUUGCGUCCCAUUAGCUAGUUGGAGAGGUAACGGCUCACCAAGGCGAUGAUGGGUAGCCGGCCUGAGAGGGUGAACGGCCACAAGGGGACUGAGACACGGCCCUUACUCCUACGGGAGGCAGCAGUGGGGAAUAUUGGACAAUGGACCAAGAGUCUGAUCCAGCAAUUCUGUGUGCACGAUGAAGUUUUUCGGAAUGUAAAGUGCUUUCAGUUGGGAAGAAAAAAAUGACGGUACCAACAGAAGAAGUGACGGCUAAAUACGUG